CUCAUCCUGUCAGUUCGUGAUCUACCCUGGGUGUCAAGUUGGUGCAGCCCCUCUGAAACGACAUUAACUGUCCAUCAUGGCAUUUGGGUUUGAGCGCUGCCUUUCCCAGAUGCCAUUUUUAUUUAGCCUUCGUUAUUUCUAUCUGGAGUUGAAUCUCAGCUGCUUUGAACAAUAG
rnacentral:lncRNA from 14 species